rnacentral:tRNA from 1 species
AUCUUUCUAGUACAAAACAGUAUAAGUGACUUCCAAUCACUUGAUCUUGGUUAAAAUCCAAGGAAAGAUA